rnacentral:ncRNA from 1 species
AAUUUAGAUAUGUAGCGCAUUGUGAUGGCCUUAACGGGUAUUGACACAAUGUGAUUUCUGCCUAGUGCUCUGAAUGCCACAGUGAAGAAAUUCAUGUAAGCGCGGGUAAACCGCGGGAGUGCCUAUGACUCCCUUAACUCUCGAGCUGAACGGACGUAUUAGCGGAUAGUUGCGAAAAAAUAAAAAAAUUAAUAUU